rfam:Capsicum annuum cultivar Zunla-1 chromosome 2, whole genome shotgun sequence
CUUCAUGGUUCGGGCAUUGCAUGAGAUUGUCAUUGAAUCUUUGCCACACCUCCUGUAAGGGCUCACCACUAAGUUGAUGAAAAUUUGUGAUCUCAUUCCUUAGUUG